rnacentral:rRNA from 1 species
GUGGGGAAUAUUCCGCAAUGGACGAAAGUCUGACGGAGCAACGCCGCGUGAGUGAAGAAGUUUUCGGAUCGUAAAGCUCUUUCGUUAGGGACGAACGUGCUCUUUGUGAAUAAUGAGGAGUAAUGACGGUACCUAAAUAAGAAGCCACGGCUAACUACGUGCCAGCAGCCGCGGUAAUACGUAGGUGGCAAGCGUUGUCCGGAAUUAUUGGGCGUAAAGCGCGCGCAGGCGGGAUAUCAAGUCUGUCUUAAAAGUGCGAGGCUCAACCUCGUGAGGGGACAGAAACUGGUAUUCUUGAGUGUCGGAGAGGAAAGUGGAAUUCCAAGUGUAGCGGUGAAAUGCGUAGAGAUUUGGAAGAACACCAGUGGCGAAGGCGACUUUCUGGACGAUGUCUGACGCUGAGGCGCGAAAGCUAGGGGAGCGAACGGGAUUAGAAACCCUAGUAGUCC